UCUAUUCUCAUUAAUUUUAUAGUAGUAGAAACUUCGAUACCCAUCAUAACGAUUUUUACAUAUUGAUCUUUAUUAACCAUCUUCGUUCUCGCAUUUAAUUAUAAUAUUUAAAAAAAAGAAAAAAAUCACCGUUUAUGAUAAUUUCGUUUCCAUUAGUCAUUAAAAAUGUUUAAGAAAAUUUAAAAUAUUAAAAAUAAGUGUUUAUGUAAAUUAUCGUGAAAAGAAACUUGCAUUAAAGUAUACGUAAUUAAAUAUAAUCGAGUGAUAAAAAUAAGUUUGUUAAAUGCGCGAUUAAAAAGUAAUUAUUCGCAGCCGAUUGAACACGUUUGAAGAAUAAUAAAUGGCGUCGAACUGCGUCGAUUCGUCACUUUCACGUGAUUAAUUGUGCAACAGAAGCCAGUGUUACUUUUCAUUCAAGGUAACGUGACAGUUUCGUUAGGUUCAAUGUAAUUACCUAAUUCGCUCGGCUCUCCUCGCUGAAUUUUUCUAUCUACUGGAGAUAUAGAAGGCCGCUUGCUUCAUUGAAUUUAUAAUGGAACUCGUCACGGUUGAGUUACUGCAACUUCUUGAUGAAAAAAAGAUGUUACUUUUCGUGAAAUAAUUUUUAUCCAAUUUAAAUUCAAAAGAGAAAAAUUAAUUAUAUCGUUGUACGCGUUAUAAUAGUACUCGACUCGAUGCUGAUACUUGAAAUUUAUUAAAAAAGAAAGAGAGAAAGAAAGGAGGAAAAAAGUUAGGUUAUGUUUCACGCGCGUAUCGCAAAGGAAAGAAACUUGAUCUAACUCGUGGAGAAAAUCAAAAGCUCGUCAAUCUGACGAAACGUAAGAGAUCGUUGCAGCGCGCGCAAUUAUCGAACUAUACACCUUUCGCCGAAUCGGAGAACGUGUGGUUGAACGUAUAGAAAGUGAAUCGGAAUUGCGAGAAGAUACGAUCUCCUCUUCUCUUACGAAACCUCGGAAAGAUUUAUUCCAGAAGAGAGGAACCAUGUUGGGAGGAAACGGCGAAUAUUUAUUUAUUACGCUUUUGAGUAAUUCUCUGAAAGGAUCCGAAAGAUUCGCUGUCGACGAGUGACUAUCUUUUUUGGAAUGUCGUUUCGAACAAAGAAACGAAGAGCUUUAAAACGAAACUACUCUUUUCAACGUCUUAAAUUUUACAUCGAAUCGUUACUUCGGUAUUCGUCGAAUUAUCGAAUAUUUAAAUGUAAUUAAUGACUCGGAGUAUUAAUAAAUAUAAUCGAUAGCCA